CAAUAAAUAAAAAAAUUUUAACACAUUUGUUUCAUACUUGCAGGUUCAACAAGGCAAGGAUUAUGGCACAGUCAUUGUGCACAUUGAUGACAAGAUCCAACAUGUGGAUGCUUUCCUCGAAAAGGUGUCUCAGAUUCAGAAGCUAAUAGAAAACAUCAAAACAAAGAUUGAUGAGCUUAAAAAUAUACAGAAGGAGCUUUUAGGUAUUCCAAAGGAUCAAGCAAAGCUAAGGCAGGAUAUGGAUGCUUGUACCGCUUCAAUUCAGAGAAUGAUAACCCUGACAAAUGCUAGACUGAAAGGUAUG